rnacentral:rRNA from 1 species
UACGGAGGGUGCAAGCGUUAAUCGGAUUUACUGGGCGUAAAGGGCGCGUAGGCGGCCACCGCAAGUCGACUGUGAAAUCUCCGGGCUUAACCCGGAAAGGUCAGCCGAUACUGCGGGGCUAGAGUGCAGAAGGGGCAACUGGAAUUCUCGGUGUAGCGGUGAAAUGCGUAGAUAUCGAGAGGAACACCUGCGGCGAAGGCGGGUUGCUGGGCUGACACUGACGCUGAAGCGCGAAAGCUAGGGGAGCGAACGGG